rnacentral:rRNA from 1 species
UACAGAGGUCUCAAGCGUUGUUCGGAUUCAUUGGGCGUAAAGGGUGCGUAGGCGGUGUCGUAAGUCGGAUGUGAAAUCCCGGGGCUUAACUUCGGAACUGCAUUCGAUACUGCGAUACUCGAGGACUCGAGAGGAGAUUGGAAUUCACGGUGUAGCAGUGAAAUGCGUAGAUAUCGUGAGGAAGACCAGUGGCGAAGGCGGAUCUCUGGAGAGUUCCUGACGCUGAGGCACGAAGGCCAGGGGAGCAAACGGG